GUGUUUUUUGGUUUGUUGACACAUGAAUUUUCUGGCCACCGGAUUGAGAAUGGAACGCCCCGAUUUGGUGUGACUGUGUUGCGUUGUGUCACUGACGUGCAGGGCCCAGUCUGAUUCCCGACACUGUUCGUAUUCUCGAUCCGCGCGCCCAGACAGGAAAGGGAGCGGUUCUGGAGGUCUCCCCUUUCCCCUUCUGUGCUCUUCCCCGUCGAGUCUCGUCGGCGUCCCGGCGAUUAAUCAGGCAACGCGGCCCCUCCGUGCUCCUCCCCGCCUUUCCUGUCGGUGAGGCGCGAGACGAAGCUGUCGUUCUGCCGUCGCGCGGGUGGAGGAGCCUGCGGCGGACGGUGCGGCGGAGGCCGUGCUCACCCUCGACGUCGACAGCUUCGACGAGGCCGUCGCCAAGCACCCGUUCAUGGUCGUCGAGUUCUACGCCCCCUGGUGUGGACACUGCAAGAAGCUUGCUCUAGAGGUAAUAAGUGUUUUAUGUUAUGGAUCCUUAAGUCAUAAAUCGUGUUUUCGUAGUUUCAGUAGGACAUCUGAAUCAUUCUUGGGGGAUUUGCACAUGGCCUUGGAAUUAAGUGUGCACUACUGAAUAAUGAUUAUUUGAAGCUUGACUGCUUGAGAGGCCAUUUGCCCUGUUUGGUUAUUUCAAUGUUACUUUAGAUUCUACUAUUCUCUGUUUCCCCCCUCAAGUGCCAUCUAAGUAAUAGCUUCCCAUAGUGGGUGUAAAUCCAUGCUCAUUUUCUUUUGUGGGAAUCAUCGAUAUUCCAAAUGUUAUUCGCAUAUACUGUUAUGUGUUUUUAAUGUCUGUUUGAAGAUUGCUUGGAGGUCUGAAACUUUGUGAUGGCGAAGAUGCUGUGUUAUUGUAGUCUGAAUCUGCAAGUUUGGGACCAACAUUCUGUCAUUGCAGGUCUGAAACAGUUGUCUGUGCUCUGGUGAUAAGGUGUUCGUUCUGAAUAUUUGAGUCCAUUAAAAAAAUCUUCGGCUAAGUUACUACUGGAACACAGAAAGUUUAGGUUUUUUUUUGCAAUAUUUUCAAUACACAGAAAGUUUAGCUUUGUCCUUUUGCAAUAUUUUCAAAUGUUUUUUUUUGAAACGUACAACAUUUUCAAAAGUCACAGUAUCCAAAGCACUGCAACUUAGUACUGCUCUGCCAGUGUGGCAAUAUGAAUCCUGUAAUGUUGUAGCUGAUGCAAAUUUUCAGUAUUCAAACUCAUAUUGUUAUGGGGUUCUCGUUGUUUGAUAUAAAGUAGUUGAUGAGAGGGCUGA